rnacentral:rRNA from 1 species
UACGUAGGUGGCAAGCGUUAUCCGGAUUUACUGGGUGUAAAGGGCGUGUAGGCGGGAUUGCAAGUCAGAUGUGAAAUUCCAGGGCUCAACCCUGGACCUGCAUUUGAAACUGUGAUUCUUGAGUGAUGGAGAGGCAGGCGGAAUUCCGUGUGUAGCGGUGAAAUGCGUAGAUAUACGGAGGAACACCAGUGGCGAAGGCGGAUUGCUGGACAGUAACUGACGCUGAGGCGCGAAAGCGUGGGGAGCAA